rnacentral:misc_RNA from 1 species
GAUGAAGAACGCAGCGAAAUGCGAUAAGUAAUGUGAAUUGCAGAAUUCAGUGAAUCAUCGAAUCUUUGAACGCACAUUGCGCCCGCCAGUAUUCUGGCGGGCAUGCCUGUUCGAGCGUCAUUUCAACCAUCAAGCACCCGGCUUGUGUUGGGGACCUGCGGCUGCCGCAGGCCCUGAAAAGCAGUGGCGGGCUCGCUGUCACACCGAGCGUAGUAGCAUACAUCUCGCUCUGGGCGUGCUGCGGGUUCCGGCCGUUAAACCACCUUCAUAACCCAAGGUUGACCUCGGAUCAGGUAGGAAGACCCGCUGAACUUAAGCAUAUCAAUAAGCGGAGGA